GUAUUUUUUCCAUUGUACAAGUCAAUAGGAACCGAAACUGGUUACCAGCAUACUUCAGAAUAUCUUCUUAUACAUUCCACAGAAGAAAGUCAGUCAUACAAGUUUGGAAUGUCAUGAGGGAUGAUGACCAGCCGUGAUUAUGCUUUGGAAACCUGUCUCAGCCUCCAGCUAAACUGCUCAUCCAUGACCAGUUGAUGGUAGUGUGGCCGACGGAGGAAGAUCGGACUGUGUGUGCAUGCGCCUGGUCACCCCAUCACAGGAUCCCUCUGGAGCUCAGCCAACCUUUAUUACUGAGCAAAAGAGGGAAACAGGCCUGUCACAGGCAAAGUGAUAAAGCAUCAUUACCACACUGCAGAGGAGGAAUGAGGGCAGCCUGCUCUGACACAACUCCUUUCAUAAAGAGCUUCGCUCCAACAUAAUAGACAGCCAGUCAAAGAACUCCAGCAAAGAACAAAAUGACUAGUCCAGCCAAAUCCUUUGCUUGUAUUGACAUGCCCUCUUUCAUUACAUCCCACUGUGCUGUACUGCACCACAGGCAGGGCUCAGGCUGAGGCUGGUGUGACUUUACGGACAUCGCCAUCGGAUCUUUCACACGACAGACAUACUGCUGCCAUGGUUUGCUUCAGCCUCAUAUCCACAGUUUGCGGCUGAAAUAUAGUCUUUAUUUCUUCAUCCAUAUUUGUCUUCUCAUCGUUUCAAGGCCAUGAAGUAAUGCACCUUACUUUCCUCAUUCAGUUCCGAGUAAUAAAUGUAAAGGAUUGUGGGGUGAUUUUAUGACUAACAUCCAUCGUUUUCUGUAGAUGGCAGUAUUUAGUCAAGCAUUUUUUAGUGCAUUGUGCACUUUCCCAUGUCUGCCUGGAAAGAGUGUAUGACUGUAUGUGAGGACAGAAAGUAACCUCAGAGACAAAUGCAUGCGUGUCUCUGUGUCCACACAACAAAUUUUUAACCGUAAACAAACAGUUUGAAUGCCAUGGCUUGUUAGAAUGUUUAAACAAAAUAACUUUAGUGUGAAUUUAAAAUCUCUCCUUUUUAAUUUUCCUCAUCUAUUUUCAUAAGAGCUUGAAUUGUAUUGUAAUUAUAUUAUCUCUAAAGCCUUUGAUAGAGAUGUUUAAAGAGACAAUCACAUAAGCUUUUGUGACAAAAAGGCUCUCUAACUAUGCUUGCUGAAUUUUAAGUUCAACAUUUGUAUGUCUUUAGAGCCGGCUUAUAAAUAUGUCAGAUAGCCCUCCUGGUGUGAAGAGGUGGCAAAUGUCAUAUUUUAAUUUCAUAAAGCGCUGUUAUUAAAUUUGAGCUAUUAAAUCAUCCUUGAUUGAGUUUGUCUCAAGUGUGAAUACGCAACAUAUUGUAGGCAGGAUUUUGCAUGGGCAUGCUAUGUGCUGACAAUGCCAGGAUUCACUGCUGUUAUGGGCUUUAAGGUUAAAUCAAUUGUUUAUUAAUUUUUUAAACUGAAACAAUUAGUUUAACAAAUAGAUGUUAUCGCCACCCAUGAUUAACAAUCCCUCCAAGACCUUGGGAAGCAUCUUUUAAGCCAUUCCACUUAGCAAGACUGUAAGAAAUCCCAUGAAAGCUCCCUAUUUAUUCUAAUUCUGCUUUCCAGCCUCUUUCCAUUUCAUUAUAACUC